rnacentral:sRNA from 1 species
UUGGGAUAAUCCAAUGGUUGUGUGCAGAGAGAAUAGCGACACAAGUGUCUUCCGGCUUUUACCACCUUGUGAAUUCUAUGUAUUUAUUAUUCCCUUUGAAAUGGAAGGGGACACGACAGAGAUACCCGGGGGUCUUCCAUCUGUAUAUCAGAAAGCACUGGGUCAAAGAGAACAGAAGAUACAGAUCUGGCAGAAAACUGUGAAGGAGGCUCAUUUGACAAAGUGAGGAAACCGAAGAACUGAGGAAUUAAGUACUUUACCCAAAGUCACACAGGAGCCAGGAUUCACACCUAGUCAAUCUGGUUCCAGAGAUUCUUUUUUUCUCUGUUCUGGCUUCUUAAGAACCAGAGGUUCUUAAAUGCCUCUAGUGUCUUCACUGUUUUCUUUCAAAUAUUGUCAUACCAUAUCAUACUGUACAAUAAUAACAUUAUAAUAAUUUGUUGUAAAAAUGGAUGAUCAUGAAAAAACAUUCUUAUAAAGC